UACGAAGGGGGCUAGCGUUGCUCGGAUUGACUGGGCGUAAAGGGCGCGUAGGCGGCCGAUCAAGUCAGAUGUGAAAGUCCUGGGCUUAACCUGGGGACUGCAUUUGAUACUGAUUGGCUUGAAUGCAGGAGAGGAUAGCGGAAUUCCCAGUGUAGAGGCGAAAUUCGUAGAUAUUGGGAAGAACACCGGUGGCGAAGGCGGCUAUCUGGACUGUGAUUGACGCUGAGGCGCGAAAGCGUGGGGAGCAAACAGG
rnacentral:rRNA from 1 species